UACAUGACUCUCGACAAUGGAUAUCUCGGCUCUCGCAUCGAUGAAGAGCGCAGCGAAAUGCGAUACGUGGUGCGAAUUGCAGAAUCCCGCGAACCAUUGAGUCUUUGAACGCAAGUUGCGCCCGAGGCCAACCAGCUAAGGGCACGUCCGCCUGGGCGUCAAGU
rnacentral:rRNA from 1 species